AGUAGCGCAGCGAGAAGGAUCGCCAUCACACGGCGCACUGGUGCGGCUUCUCCCCCGAGUGGAUGAACAUGUGCUUGGUGUCGUUUUUCCUUGAGCUGAACGUCUUGCAACAGUGGCCGCACGCAUAGGCAAGUGGCUCGGCACCAGGAGUGCGAGCAGUGGUGCCUGAGGGGGCCGUGGUGGGAGCAGCAGAGGGAGCCGGGGCCUCCCGCAGCUGAGUGCCGGGGGCUGCCUCGGGCUGGAGUGUGGGGUAGAAGGCGGGUGGGGGCGCAGGGGCUGGCACGGAUGGUGCUGAAGGGGGUGGUGCGGGUGGUUCGGGAGCACCCAAGUGAAAGGGGAAGAGUGCGACAGGCGGCCCUGGGGUCUUCACGCCAGGCGGGCGGGGUCCAGCCAGUAUGCAGUCGGGCUGGACAGGGGUCUCGGUGGGACAGCCUUCGGGGACAGCGCCAUCCUUGUCGUGCCAAGCGGUUACAUAGCUGUCUGGAAAUACGUCCUCAGCUGCCCCAGAUCCCGGAAGAAAAUCUCUCCCACACCACUGUAGUCAGAGAGGCCAGUGGGUGCAUGGAACUCCUCGCACGCGCUGUCAGCAGCAGCAGUGAGGAAGCCG
rnacentral:lncRNA from 1 species